UCGAGACAAAUUAAUAGUCUUCCUUCGAUAAAAUAUGGAUAUUUUCACAUGGUGGGCUUUAGAUAUGCCAGGUAUACCUCCUGAUAUAAUUACGCAUAGGUUAAAUGUUAACCCUACAUGCAGACCUGUUCGUUAGAAAAAGAGGAAUUUUGCACCUGAACGACAAAUGAUGAUUGACGAGGAGGUUAACAAAUUAUUAGCC
rnacentral:lncRNA from 1 species